CUACGGGAGGCUGCAGUGAGGAAUUUUGCGUAAUGGGGGAAACCCUGACGCAGCGACGCCGCGUGGGUGAUGAAGGCUUUCGAGUCGUAAAGCCCUGUCAAGUGGGAAGAAAGGCAUGGUGGUGAACAGCCAAUGUGUUUGACGGUACUACUAAAGGAAGCACCGGCUAACUCCGUGCCAGCAGCCGCGGUAAUACGGAGGGUGCAAGCGUUGUUCGGAAUUACUGGGCGUAAAGGGCGCGUAGGCGGCGCUGUAAGUCAGAUGUGAAAGUCCACGGCUCAACCGUGGAAGUGCAUCUGAUACUGCAGUGCUUGAGUAUCGGAGGGGAAAGUAGAAUUCCCGGUGUAGAGGUGAAAUUCGUAGAUAUCGGGAGGAAUACCGGUGGCGAAGGCAGCUCUCUGGCCUGAUACUGACGCUGAGGUGCGAAAGCGUGGGGAGCAAACAGGAUUAGAUACCCCAGUAGUC
rnacentral:rRNA from 1 species